AUUGAACGCUGGCGGCAGGCCUAACACAUGCAAGUCGAGCGGAUGAGGGAAGCUUGCUUUUCGAUUCAGCGGCGGACGGGUGAGUAAUGCCUAGGAAUCUGCCUGUUAGUGGGGGAUAACUCGGGGAAACUCGGGCUAAUACCGCAUACGUCCUACGGGAGAAAGUGGGGGAUCUUCGGACCUCACGCUAAUAGAUGAGCCUAGGUCGGAUUAGCUAGUGGGUGAGGUAACGGCUCACCAAGGCGACGAUCCGUAGCUGGUCUGAGAGGAUGAUCAGCCACACUGGAACUGAGACACGGUCCAGACUCCUACGGGAGGCAGCAGUGGGGAAUAUUGGACAAUGGGCGAAAGCCUGAUCCAGCCAUGCCGCGUGUGUGAAGAAGGUCUUCGGAUUGUAAAGCACUUUAAGUUGGGAGGAAGAGUUGUAAGCUAAUAUCUUGCAGCUUUGACGUUACCAACAGAAUAAGCACCGGCUAACUCUGUGCCAGCCGCCGCGGUAACAC
rnacentral:rRNA from 1 species